AUGUUUGUGGAGGCCAGAGGUCAAGGUACCUUGCUCAUUUGUAGUUCACUCAUUUUUCUGAGAGCGUCUGUAGCCUCAGCUGUCCUGGAAUUCCUGCUGUGGACCAGGCUGGCCUCAAACACAAGAGAUUCACUCGCCUCUGCCUCUGGAGUGCUAGGAUUAAAGGUGGUACACCCCAACACACCCAGCUCACUGUAUUUUUUUGAUAGUUUUUCACUAAAACUGGAGCUCAAAUAUAUGGAUUGACAGACCAAGAAAUGCCUUCUGAAUCUGCCUCUCCAGCACUGGAAUUUAGAUAAGCAUUGCUGCGCUGGAUGGAGAUCUGAACUCAGGUCCUCAUGCUUACAUGGUAAAAACUUUACCAAGCGGAGCCAUCUCCCCAGCCCUUCGUGUGUUUGUGGUGCUAGCUGGGGCUUUAAAUACUUGGCAAGCCCUUUGACACUGGGAUAACACCCUCACUCAGCCUCUCGAUUAGAUUCUGCUGCAGGAAGUCAUUCUUCUUGUCUAGAACUUUCUGUGCAUGUGUCUGGCUAUUGAAAGCUGUUUAAUUUACUUCCCUUAUGUGAACAGGAUUCAAGUCUGUGAUCGUGUCACUAAUGGUCAGUGUAUAGGUACCAACUCAGCAAGUCCAAUCCUAUCUUGACAGCUGGACUGCACACCUGUAACCAAACAACCAGAAAUACCACACCCAUAAAGUAAUUUUCUCUGCAAACUAAACUCUGGCAAGUUCUGCAGGCUUCCAGAAAAAUGAAGUUUAAAUUGAAUGAGGUAGUUCCUCCUUUAUCUUCCUGAGGACUAAGGAGAAAAGUUCCUUGGGAGCCGAGUGCCUAGCAGAAAGAACAUACUACUAAAGUCAACAAUCUAUUCAUUUGCAUUUGAAGCAGCAAAACUACUUGUUAUUUACCUCAUGAUUUGUACACAGAGUACAGGAGCAACAUCCAGGUCCUUCUAUAGCAAUUUUAUUCCAAAUAUAUUUAUCAGAGUUAAAGUUUCUUGUUUCUAAUUUAGCUCUAAGAUAUCUGGCUGCAUAGUCUUCCAGUUUAUAAGGAAGAGGCCAAACAGCUACUAGAAACUUAUAGAUGUGCAUAAUCAUCAAUAUAUUAAGUUAGUUAUCAGUUUCUACCACUAAAUGCAUAUGAACUAUCUGAGAACUCAAGACAAGUAGAUACUAUUAUCUUUAAGAGAAAGUGUUAGUCAAAUCACACUUGGCAGGGAUGCCAAUUUGUUUAGAGGGGAGGUGGUUUCAUCCAGUUCCCAUCUGAGUCUAGGUUCCUCAUGAAUUAGCUGAUCUCUAAGGCAGAACCAGACUAGUUUAAGCAAGACAGAUCCCCAAUAUUGUUCUGCCAAAUGUUCAUUUCAAACCUCUAAGUCACCAUGAACAGAAACUCUGAUAAAACAAUAAAAUGAUGUUUGACUAUGCACUGGAAAUUUAAAGAGCAUCUUAUCAGACUGGAAGUCAAGUUAACUCUUGCUUUCAAAUUCCUUCUUUAAAUAAAGCUUAUGGAUCCAUC
rnacentral:lncRNA from 1 species